GGCUCAGGAUGAACGCUGGCGGCGUGCCUAAUACAUGCAAGUCGAGCGAACAGACGAGGAGCUUGCUCCUUUGACGUUAGCGGCGGACGGGUGAGUAACACGUGGGUAACCUACCUAUAAGACUGGGAUAACUUCGGGAAACCGGAGCUAAUACCGGAUAAUAUUUCGAACCGCAUGGUUCGAUAGUGAAAGAUGGCUYUGCUAUCACUUAUAGAUGGACCUGCGCCGUAUUAGCUAGUUGGUAAGGUAAYGGCUUACCAAGGCAACGAUACGUAGCCGACCUGAGAGGGUGAUCGGCCACACUGGAACUGAGACACGGUCCAGACUCCUACGGGAGGCAGCAGUAGGGAAUCUUCCGCAAUGGGCGAAAGCCUGACGGAGCAACGCCGCGUGAGUGAUGAAGGUCUUCGGAUCGUAAAACUCUGUUAUUAGGGAAGAACAAACGUGUAAGUAACUGUGCACGUC
rnacentral:rRNA from 1 species